rnacentral:rRNA from 1 species
CCCUUAGAUGUUCUGGGCUGCACACGCGCUACACUGAAGGGAUCAGCGUGUUCUUUUCCUGGUCCGAAAGGAUCGGGUAACCCGCUGAACCCCCUUCGUGGUAGGGAUCGGAGCUUGCAAUUAUUCUCCGUGAACCAGGAAUUCCCAGUAAGCGCAAGUCAUAAGCUUGCGUUGAUUACGUCCCUGCCCUUUGUACACACCACCCGUCGCUACUACCGAUUGGACGUUUUAGUGAGGAUUUUGGACUGAGCCAAUGGUGGUUCACACCACUGUUGUGCAUGGAAAGAUCUCCAAACUUGAGCGUUUAGAGGAAGUAAAAGUCGUAACA